CACGUAAAACUUGCAACAACAAUUACACGACAUCUAACUUGUUUUUGCAGUGUAUGCUAUGUGAUGUGAUAUGGCCAAAAGGAUGUGAUGUUAUAUAUGUGAUGUAUGAGAUUGAUCAUGUUCUUGUAAUAGGAUUCGCGACUUGCAUGUCGAUGAGUGUGACAACCGACAGGUGCCAUAGGAGUUGUCUUGAUUUAUUGUAUGAGAUGCAACGCCAUGUGAUUACUUUACUUUAUUGCUAACCGUUAGUCAUAGCAGUAGAAGUAAUAGUUGGUGAGACGACUUCACGGAGACACAAUGAUGGAGAUCAUGAUGAUGGAGAUCAUGGUGUCAUGCGGGUGAAAAUUAUGAUCAUGUGACACCCCAAAGAUGGAGACCAAAGGAGCAAAGAUGAUAG
rnacentral:lncRNA from 1 species